rnacentral:rRNA from 1 species
UACGAAGGGGGCGAGCGUUGUUCGGAUUUACUGGGCGUAAAGGGCGCGUAGGCGGCGCCGCAAGUCGCGUGUGAAAGCCCCGGGCUCAACCUGGGAGGUGCGCGCGAGACUGUGGCGCUGGAGUUCGGGAGAGGAGCGUGGAAUUCCCAGUGUAGAGGUGAAAUUCGUAGAUAUUGGGAAGAACACCGGUGGCGAAGGCGGCGCUCUGGACCGAGACUGACGCUGAGGCGCGAAGGCGUGGGGAGCAAACAGG